rnacentral:tRNA from 1 species
AGGGGUGUCGUUCAACGGUAGGAUGGCGGUCUCCAAAACCGCUAAUGGAGGUUCGAUUCCUCCCACCCCUGCUA